rnacentral:rRNA from 1 species
AGGGCACCACCAGGAGUGGAGCCUGCGGCUUAAUUUGACUCAACACGGGAAAACUCACCCGGCCCGGACACCGUAAGGAUCGACAGAUUGAGAGCUCUUCCUUGAUUCGGUGGUUGGUGGUGCAUGGCCGUUCUUAGUUGGUGGAGCGAUUUGUCUGGUUUAUUCCGAUAACGAGCGAGACUCUAGCCUACUAAAUAGUGACCGGAUAGCUUGGUCCGGGUCACUUCUUAGARGGACAAGCGGUGUUCAGCCGCAAUAAGUUGAGCAAUAACAGGKCUGUGAUGCCCUUAGAUGUCCGGGGCUGCACGCSCGCUACACUGGAGGAAUCAGCGUGSUUGACCCAUUGCCGAAAGGCAUUGGUAAACCCUUGAAAAUCCUCCGUGAUCGGGAUCGGGAAUUGCAAUUAUUUCCCUUGAACGAGGAAUUCCCAGUAAGUGUGAGUCAUCAGCUCACGUUGAUUACGUCCCUGCCCUUUGUACACACCGCCCGUCGCUGCCCGGGACUGAGCCGUUUCGAGAA